rnacentral:rRNA from 1 species
GACGAACGCUGGCGGCGUGCCUAAUACAUGCAAGUAGAACAGUUGCGAACGGGUGAGUAACGCGUAGGUAACUGCCUCAAAGCGGGGGAUAACUCAGGGAAAAGAUAGCUAAUACCGCAUACUGUGAGAUGGACCUGCGUUGGAUUAGGUAGUUGGUGAGGUUAAGGCGCACCAAGGCGACGAUACAUAGCCGACCUGAGAGGGUGAUCUGCCACACUGUGAAUGGGACACGGCCCAGACUCCUUCGGCAGGCAGCAGUAGGGAAUCUUCGGCAAUGGACGGAAGUCUUACCGAGCAACGCCGCGUGAGUGAAGAAGGUGUUCGGAUCGUAAAGCUCUGUUGUUAGAGAAACGGUAACUAACCAGAAAGGGACGGCUAACUACGUGCCAGCAGCCGCGGUAAUUC